ACCGGCGCACGGUGAGUAACGCGUAUGUAAUCUACCUGUAACAGAGGGAUAACCCGGAGAAAUCCGGACUAAUACCUCAUAGCACAUAUUAUUCGCAUGAAUUUUAUGUUAAAGAGACUCGGUUACAGAUGAACAUGCGUUCCAUUAGCUAGUUGGCGGGGUUACGGCCCACCAAGGCAACGAUGGAUAGGGGUUCUGAGAGGAAGGUCCCCCACACUGGUACUGAGACACGGACCAG
rnacentral:rRNA from 1 species